AGUGGGAUAGCUGGGUCAAAUGGUGGUUCCAUUCCAAGUUUUCUGAGAAAUCUCCAUACUGCUUUCUAGAGUAUUUGCACUAAUUUGUAGUCCUACAAGCAAU
rnacentral:pre_miRNA from 1 species